rnacentral:rRNA from 3 species
GGCGCGAGCAGGUGCGAAAGCAGGUCAUAGUGAUCCGGUGGUUCUGAAUGGAAGGGCCAUCGCUCAACGGAUAAAAGGUACUCCGGGGAUAACAGGCUGAUACCGCCCAAGAGUUCAUAUCGACGGCGGUGUUUGGCACCUCGAUGUCGGCUCAUCACAUCCUGGGGCUGAAGUAGGUCCCAAGGGUAUGGCUGUUCGCCAUUUAAAGUGGUACGCGAGCUGGGUUUAGAACGUCGUGAGACAGUUCGGUCCCUAUCUGCCGUGGGCGCUGGAGAACUGAGGGGGGCUGCUCCUAGUACGAGAGGACCGGAGUGGACGCAUCACUGGUGUUCGGGUUGUCAUGCCAAUGGCACUGCCCGGUAGCUAAAUGCGGAAGAGAUAAGUGCUGAAAGCAUCUAAGCACGAAACUUGCCCCGAG